CCUACGGGAGGCAGCAGUGGGGAAUUUUGGACAAUGGGCGCAAGCCUGAUCCAGCAAUGCCGCGUGAGUGAAGAAGGCCUUCGGGUUGUAAAGCUCUUUUGUCAGGGAAGAAACGGCUGAGGAUAAUACCUUCGGCUAAUGACGGUACCUGAAGAAUAAGCACCGGCUAACUACGUGCCAGCAGCCGCGGUAAUACGUAGGGUGCAAGCGUUAAUCGGAAUUACUGGGCGUAAAGCGUGCGCAGGCGGUUUUGUAAGUCUGUCGUGAAAGCCCCGGGCUCAACCUGGGAAUUGCGAUGGAGACUGCAAGGCUUGAAUCUGGCAGAGGGGGGUAGAAUUCCACGUGUAGCAGUGAAAUGCGUAGAGAUGUGGAGGAACACCGAUGGCGAAGGCAGCCCCCUGGGUCAAGAUUGACGCUCAUGCACGAAAGCGUGGGGAGCAAACAGGAUUAGAUACCCUGGUAGUCCACGCCCUAAACGAUGUCUACUAGUUGUCGGGUUUUAAUUAACUUGGUAACGCAGCUAACGCGUGAAGUAGACCGCCUGGGGAUACGGUCGCAAGNUUAAAACUCAAAGGAAUUGACCGGNNGAGAGNGCGAGACGACGACGAGGAGGAGG
rnacentral:rRNA from 1 species